GUGUCUCUUUGCCAAUCUCAGGGUGGAAAAUAAUGCAAUAUUUCACCAUUAAGUAAGAUGUUGGCUGUAGUGUUUUGUGUCUAUCCUUUAGUAGAAUAAGGAUGUUCCCUCUUGUUCCAUUGUCAGCCUAACCAGAAUCUUUUUAAAGCCAUCAUCAGGGAUGUACUCUCUACAAUGAGACCAUCUCUUCACUAAAUGGUAUUGGGAAAACUGGACAGCCACGUGCAAAAGAAUGUAACUCUACCACUGUCUUACACCAUGCACAAAAAAUUAACUCAGAAUGGAUUAAAGACUCCAAACUAAAAAUCCUAGAAGAAAACAAAGGUGGUAAUAAGCUCCUGACAUAGAUCUUGGUGAUGAUUGCUUAAAUCUGACAUCAAAAGCAAAAGCAACAAAAUCAAAAAUAUAGGUUCAUUUACUGUUGGGAUGCUCAAGAUCGAUCUACCAGACAGCCUGGAAUUCUCCUGUUUAGACAUCCACCUAAGCCUCUGACGUCACCUUUCGCAGUCGACGGAGGAUGGACUGCGUUUGUGAAAGAGCUGUUCUUCAGUACUGAAAAGAGACUGAGGAAUCCAUUGUGAAUGGACUUGGGCAGCUUUGUUUGUUCAGUUUAUAAACAGUUUGAAAGUUCUGAAACUUGCCCAGAACGCUUUGGCUUAGAGACAGCUGUGUAAAAUUGCAUAAAAACAAGUUUAGUUUCACAUUGUCCCUAACGGUGGCCAUGUGACAAAUAUUUUCCUUUUGAAGGUUUAAAAUAUUCGUUUGGCUGUUUAAUCCAGAUAUGCCAUCAAAUAUCCCCGUUUCCCCGCAACAGUUCAAAAAUUAUUCAUACUACAAAAAGUAUUUUCAAAAGAGUAUAAUUUUUAUCAAAGAACAAAACAUUUAAAAACAAGAACUUGUUAUUAUUUACAUUUGCAAGUGCAUUCUUGGUUUUUUUUAGGCUCUAUUUUAUACAGCAGUUUUAGAUUUACAGAAAAAAGUUGAGAAGGUAGUAUAGAGAGGUCCCACAGAGCCCAUACCCAGUCUCGCAUACAUCAACAUCACCUGUUAGGUAAAUGUGCCACAGUUAAUGAACCAAUAUUAAUUUAUUAUUUCUAACUAAAGCCCAUAGUUUAUUCAGAUUUCUUUAGGUUUUACCUAAUAUCCAUUUAUGUUCCAGGACCCCAUCAAAGAUAGCACGUCACAUUCAGUUUCAAGUAUCCUUAGGUUGUUACCUUUGGCUGUGAUAGUUUGUUAGACUUCCCUUGUUCUUCAUGACCAUAAGAGUUUUGAGGAUUGUUGGUCAAAAAUUUUGUAGACUGCUUCUCAAUUAGAACUUUUCUGGAGUCUCCAUUAUGGCUUAGCAGAAACAAAUGUGACUAGUAUCCAUGAGGAUAGAGGUUCGAUUCCUGGCCUCU